GACGAACGCUGGCGGCGUGCUUAACACAUGCAAGUCGAACGGAAAGGCCCCAGCUUGCUGGAGUACUCGAGUGGCGAACGGGUGAGUAACACGUGGGUAAUCUGCCCUGCACUCUGGGAUAAGCCUGGGAAACUGGGUCUAAUACCGGAUAUGACCUUUCUCCUUAUGGGGUUUGGUGGAAAGUUUUUCGGUUUAGGAUGGGACCGCGGCCUAUCAGCUUGUUGGUGGGGUGAUGGCCUACCAAGGCGACGACGGGUAGCCGGCCUGAGAGGGUGAUCGGCCACAUUGGGACUGAGAUACGGCCCAGACUCCUACGGGAGGCAGCAGUGGGGAAUAUUGCACAAUGGGCGGAAGCCUGAUGCAGCGACGCCGCGUGAGGGAUGACGGCCUUCGGGUUGUAAACCUCUUUCAGCAGGGACGAAGCGUAAGUGACGGUACCUGCAGAAGAAGCACCGGCUAACUAUGUG
rnacentral:rRNA from 1 species